rnacentral:lncRNA from 1 species
CUGAAAUCACAUUUCCUAAGUUUUGGGUUCACUUUUUCUCCAAUGUAUGUAAACUCCAAUAUGAAAGAACAAAUCAUAACAACCUAGAUAGAGGCCAGUCCUGAAACUGAUGUAUCAGAUAGACUGAUUUCAGUUGGUGAAAGUAUGCAAAGAUGCAACUAUGGCACCUUUCAUAGCUUCAUCAUAGUCCAGAUCUGAGCAAGAGUUUGGACUAAAGUGUUUACUGCAGCCUAGACUUUUGCUUUGAAUACCUGGUGGACUUCAAAAUCGUCUCUUGAAAUAGUCUCCUAAAAUUAUUACCAGGCUUUUUACAGAAGAGAAAAACAUUUCUAAAAGGAAAAACAUUUUACUGAGAACAAUCCUUGGAAUGAAACAAUAUGCAGGUUUCACUGAAGACUUUUGUCCUCCUGCUGAUGUCCAGGCCCUGAGCUCAGAGUCUCUAGUUUGAACCAAAUAUUGCAAGAGGACUUACUGAUUACCUGACUCUAUCACCAGAAUGGCUGAACAGUCCCUUUCAUGACCAAGGUGACCUUGCCAGCAGCCUGUUUAUAGAGGCAGGUGGUAGCUACAAACUCCCAUGGCCUGCCUCUCCCUUCCACAUUUUGUGGCUGGAAGCAUUUUGGACUUGAUGACACUCCUCUCUCAGGUUUGAUAUUAGCAAGGUUAUAU